UACAGAGGGGGCAAGCGUUGUUCGGAAUUACUGGGCGUAAAGGGCGCGUAGGCGGCCUGCUAAGUCGAACGUGAAAUCCCCGAGCUCAACUCGGGAACUGCGUCCGAUACUGACAGGCUUGAAUCCGGGAGAGGGAUGCGGAAUUCCAGGUGUAGCGGUGAAAUGCGUAGAUAUCUGGAGGAACACCGGUGGCGAAGGCGGCAUCCUGGGCCGGUAUUGACGCUGAGGAGCGAAAGCCAGGGGAGCAAACGGG
rnacentral:rRNA from 1 species